rnacentral:rRNA from 1 species
UACGUAGGGAGCAAGCGUUGUCCGGAUUUAUUGGGCGUAAAGCGAGUGCAGGCGGUUCAAUAAGUCUGAUGUGAAAGCCUUCGGCUCAACCGGAGAAUUGCAUCAGAAACUGUUGAACUUGAGUGCAGAAGAGGAGAGUGGAACUCCAUGUGUAGCGGUGGAAUGCGUAGAUAUCGGGAGGAACACCAGUGGCGAAGGCGGCCUGCUGGACAUUAACUGACGCUGAGGCGCGAAAGCGUGGGGAGCAAACAGG